rnacentral:rRNA from 1 species
GUGGGGAAUCUUCCGCAAUGGACGAAAGUCUGACGGAGCGACGCCGCGUGAGUGAAGAAGGCCUUCGGGUCGUAAAGCUCUGUCAUCAGGGACGAACGGCCGGUGGAGUGGAAAGCCACCGGAUUGACGGUACCUGAGAAGGAAGCCACGGCUAACUACGUGUCAGCAGCCGCGGUAAUACGUAGGUGGCAAGCGUUGUCCGGAAUUAUUGGGCGUAAAGCGCGCGCAGGUGGGAUCUUAAGUCCAUUUUGAAAGUUCGGAGCUCAACUCCGUGAUGGGAUGGAAACUGGGAUUCUUGAGUACCGGAGAGGAAAGCGGAAUUCCCCGUGUAGCGGUGAAAUGCGUAGAUAUGGGGAGGAACACCAGUGGCGAAGGCGGCUUUCUGGACGGUGUCUGACACUGAGGCGCGAAAGCUAGGGGAGCGAACGGGAUUAGAUACCCGUGCAGUCC